rnacentral:tRNA from 1 species
GUAGAUAUAGUUUACCCAAAACACUAGAUUGUGAGUCCAGAAACAGAAUAUUCAAAAUUCUUAUCUAC